rnacentral:rRNA from 1 species
GACGAACGCUGGCGGCGUGCUUAACACAUGCAAGUCGAGGGCAGGCAGCAAUGCCUGACCGGCGAACGGGUGCGUAACACGUGAGCGACCUUCCGUCUUCUGGGGGAUAGCCGGCCCAACGGCCGGGUAAUACCGCAUACGCUCCAGGGGCCGCAUGGCCUGUGGAGGAAACUUCCGGGGGAGGACGAGGGGCUCGCGGCCUAUCAGCUAGUUGGUGGGGUAACGGCCCACCAAGGCGACGACGGGUAGCUGGUCUGAGAGGAUGGCCAGCCACAUUGGGACUGAGAGACGGCCCAGACUCCUACGGGAGGCAGCAGUGGGGAAUCUUGCGCAAUGGCCGAAAGGCUGACGCAGCGACGCCGCGUGUGGGAGGAAGCUCUUCGGGGUGUAAACCACUGUUGCCCGGGACGAACACACCUAUGCGUAGGUGCUGACGGUACCGGGUGAGGAAGCACCGGCUAACUCUGUGCCAGCAGCCGCGGUAAUACAGAGGGUGCGAGCGUUGUCCGGAAUCACUGGGCGUAACGGGCGCGUAGGUGGUGGCUAAAGCGUGCGGUGAAAGCUCGGAGCUCAACUCCGAGUCGGCCGUGCGAACUG